rnacentral:rRNA from 1 species
AGCGAACGCUGGCGGCAGGCCUAACACAUGCAAGUCGAACGAAGUCUUCGGACUUAGUGGCGGACGGGUGAGUAACACGUGGGAACGUGCCUUUAGGUUCGGAAUAACUCAGGGAAACUUGUGCUAAUACCGAAUGUGCCCUUCGGGGGAAAGAUUUAUCGCCUUUAGAGCGGCCCGCGUCUGAUUAGUUAGUUGGUGAGGUAAAGGCUCACCAAGGCGACGAUCAGUAGCUGGGCUGAGAGGAUGAUCAGGCACAUUGAGACUGAGAAACGGCGCCAACUCCUACGGGAGGCAGCAGUGGGGAAUCUUGCGCAAUGGGCGAAAGCCUGACGCAGCCAUGCCGCGUGAAUGAUGAAGGUCUUAGGAUUGUAAAAUUCUUUCACCGGGGACGAUAAUGACGGUACCCGGAGAAGAAGCUCCGGCUAACUUCGUGCCAGCAGCCGCCGUAACAC